UUCAAUAAAAUUUGAAAAUAAUGCAGUCCCAUAUCACCUUGCACACGCCUCAACAUUAUAUCAACAACAUCACACUUAAUCUCAAAUCAAUAAACUUAAAUACUUGCAUUCACUAUUUCAAGCCUAUUGGUUCACCUCCAUAUAACUAGCAUCACUAACAAAGAAAUUAUUACAUCCACCUUGGUGACCAUCCACUGUUCAAACUUAGUGUCUAGUGCUAGGCAUGAUGAAAAA
rnacentral:lncRNA from 1 species